AUUGUUUAACACCAUCUUCUUGGUGCCGUUCUUCUGAUGUUAAGUAAGUUCUCCACGAGAUCUGGCUGUUUAAAAAUGUGCAGAAGCUCCACUCUGU